CUCACAAAAGACAGAGCCGAUCUCAAGGGCCUGGGAAAAUAGAAAAUUUUCACACUGUGAUGGGAAACACUGUCAAGAACUGAGACUCCAGUGAAACAUCAGGCACUAGUGUGUGGUCACAGAGACAGUGAGGGAACUGGGUUGGGAGAAAGAACAGCCUAAAAAUUAACACAGAGAGGUAAGCGGGAAUGACAAUAUUUAAGAAGCAACCAAGAUCAAGUCACUCUUCGGGGACUGCACAGCCAGUUUUCUUGUCAUUUGCCACCUCUGGCCCAGGAGAUGCUGGUGGGAUGGCCAAAAGAUGGAAAGCAGAAGGGUGGAAGGUGCAAAUGGAGUGAUCCAGUUUCUGCCUCUUGCGUGCACUUAUGCCACGAUGCCAUCUGCCAAGAACCCUUCACUGAGUCAACUGAUGCUGGCACCUUUGGACCUCUGAAACUAAUAUUAGCACCGGAAGGGACCUGCAACAAGAUAGAGAUUCAUCAUGUCUGACAGACGAGGAAACUAUAAUCCCAAAAAGGUCUUGUGGUCCGAGAGAGUUUCCUCCCAAGCAAGUUCCAGGAUCUCAGCAAGCAACUUGGACUUCAGUUCCUUAAUCUGAAGUUUACCAUCUCUGUCAAUCAUUCGUUUUUCCUCUAAGGAUCUUCAUGUCUUUAGAAACAUUGCUUCUUUAGAUAGCAUUGUAUUAUUUUCUCCUUUGUGUUCUUUUAUACCACAUAUUUUUUUUUUUCCAUCCCAUUUAUAUCUUUGUUUUAUCCAUUCCAAAAAAAGUACACCAGAGACAGCUUUUAUCUCCUUGUACAUUAUGUCUGCCUUUUAAAAAAUUCACAGUACAAUAUUGCAUAUGUGUAAAUAAAUUAUUGUAAUAAAACCUUCCACAUAUUUGUUUACUUGUGAUAUUUGAUUUAGUUGGUUUCAUAUCAAGAAGUCCUACCAUAUUUCUCUAAUCCUUUUUAAUGAAAUCUAAAAUGGUUUUCCAUAUUUCUUUGUAUUCAUGUAAAUUAUUUGGUGCUUUAUAAAUUGUAAGAUUUUUAUUGUUCUGCCCAACUGCUCUCA